rnacentral:rRNA from 1 species
ACGAUGGAGAGUUUGAUCCUGGCUCAGGAUGAACGCUAGCGGCAGGCCUAAUACAUGCAAGUCGAACGGUCCGCAAGGAUAGUGGCGAACGGGUGCGUAACGCGUAAGGAACCUGCCC